rnacentral:rRNA from 1 species
UGGGGAAUAUUGGACAAUGGGCGAAAGCCUGAUCCAGCCAUGCCGCGUGGGUGAAGAAGGCCUUCGGGUUGUAAAGCCCUUUUGUUGGGGAAGAAAUCCUGCUGGCUAAUACCCGGCGGGGAUGACGGUACCCAAAGAAUAAGCACCGGCUAACUUCGUGCCAGCAGCCGCGGUAAUACGAAGGGUGCAAGCGUUACUCGGAAUUACUGGGGCGUAAAGCGUGCGUAGGUGGUGGCUUAAGUCCGUUGUGAAAGCCCCGCGGCUUAACCGUGGGUCUGCGGUGGAUACGGGCCGGCUAGAGGCAGGCAGGGGCAAGUGGAAUUCCUGGUGUAGCGGUGAAAUGCGCAGAUAUCGGGAGGAACACCGGUGGCGAAGGCGGUGCUCUGGGCCUGUUCUGACGCUGAGGAGCGAAAGCGUGGGGAGCGAACAGGAUUAGAUACCC